CCAGUCCCAUGCCAGAUGGACUCCCAUAUUUCUAAAGUACACAACAGCUGGAAUGAAGUGGGAAAGGUCAUUUGGACUGCACAGCCUGUGAUGCUUUGCUUCUGCUACUGUCUGCCCACUGGAAGCACUGGAUUUUUGGGAAUGGUCUUUCUUCAGGAAAAAAAAAGGACUAAACAAGUGUUUGGUCAAAUUUACCUGUCUGUAGAAACUCACUUCCAUAAAACCUUCAAUUUUUAUGGAGAAAAACCCACGAGAAGCCAGCACAAAGCUCAGUUUUUACCUGCAUCAUGUGAGGUGGAAGACGAAAUUCAUGAUGGGGUCCUUCAGAAGACAUCAGAUCCUUCUAAUUGCUCAUUUUCUACCUGCCAUGGAGGACAACAGGAGGAACAAAGGAAAAGGAACAACACUUGUCAAAUGAUCCUGAGGAUCUAAUUCUCACAGAGGCUUGUCCAAAGGGACUUUUGUAGUUCUCUGACAUGUUAUACUACAGACCCAUCUUGUCUGCUGAGCCUUAGAAGAGGAUGAGGAAAUGCUAAUUCCUCCCACUGAUGUCUUGCUGUUAAUGGAGACUGAUCUGAAAACAUGUAGGGAUCUGCUCAGCUGAACAGGCUUGCUGAAGUCAGAGCUUAAACAAAACCCAAAUGGCACGGUGACCAUUCAUUUGGAAAAGUAACUGACUGGCUGAAUUCUGGACGCUGUCUUAAAUCUUUUGACUGUCUCAAAUAUUUUGAAAACUUGGCUCAAUAGCCAGAAGAACAGUUUAUUCUGUGUGUAAUUGAAAAGGCCACAAGAAAGGCAAGCUUCUUGUAGUGGAAAAUGUGGUGUCACAUCUCAGAGCAAACUGAAGUGUGGCAUGAACCUUGGGAUAGCAAUGCUUGGAGGCUGUUCCAAACCCAAAUGGUGCAAAGAUUUGGGUGUUUUUCUCCCUUGGUUUUAAAAAGCAUUUCAAGAGGUGCACAAAAACCUUCUGAGUGAGCUUCCAGUGUGUAUGAAAGAACUGAGAGCAAGAAAGGGAGUUCACUUUAGUCUGAAAUUGAGAGGAAGAGGAGAUUUCCUGGCUUUAGAAACAUCUGGCUAUUCAUUAACAUGCUUUACUAGCUCUUCCCCUGGAAUUCAUUACUCGGGCAAGUAUUGGAGAUUCCUCCUCCCUCUUUCCUUCCUUUCCUUUGUUACAUCCCAAGAUGAUGCAGGGUUUACUCCUAUCCUUCUUUGCUGCCUUUUUCAUCUGGC